GACGAACGCUGGCGGCGUGCUUAACACAUGCAAGUCGAACGGAAAGGCCCGGCUUUUGUGGGGCGCUCGAGUGGCGAACGGGUGAGUAUCACGUGAGUAACCUGCCCCUGUCAUUGGGAUAACUUCAGGAAACUGGGGCUAUUACCCGAUAGGAGCUCCUGCUGCAUGGUGGGGGUUGGAAAGUUUCGGCGGUUGGGGAUGGACUCGCAGCUUAUCAGCUUGUUGGUGGGGUAGUGGCUUACCAAGGCUUAGACGGGUAGCCGGCCUGAGAGGGUGACCGGCCACAAUGGGACUGAGAUACGGCCCAGACUCCUACGGGGCGCAGCAGUGGGGAAUAUUACACAAUAGGCGGAAGCCUGAUGCAGCGGCGCCGGGUGCGGGAUGACGGCCUUCGGGUUAUGAACCGAUUUCGCCUGUGAGGAGGCGUGAGUGACGGUAAUGGAUCAAAAAGCACCGGCUAACUACGUG
rnacentral:rRNA from 1 species